rnacentral:rRNA from 1 species
ACGCUCGACACCUACGGGAUGCAGCAGUAGGGAAUCUUCCACAAUGGACGCAAGUCUGAUGGAGCAACGCCGCGUGAGUGAAGAAGGUCUUCGGAUCGUAAAACUCUGUUGUUAGAGAAGAACACGAGUGAGAGUAACUGUUCAUUCGAUGACGGUAUCUAACCAGCAAGUCACGGCUAACUACGUGCCAGUAGCCGCGGUAAUCUGAGCGGGCUGGCAAGGC